rnacentral:lncRNA from 1 species
CUGCUGUUUCAUUGCUUUUGUAGGUUGCUACAAUAGCUGUAUAGGAAUGUCUCAUCCUCUGAUGUAUGUAUUGCACUAGGAUAGCUCAAUUAUACAACUCUUGUAGAAUUCAAUUGUUUGUACUCCAGGUAUUGCUGCAGCGGGCACGUCCUCAGAGCUGUGGUUGAUGGGGGCCUUUAGGUGUCAGGGCAACCAUCUCUUAUCCCUAAUCUUCUCUGCUGCCACUGCAUACAGCAUACUUUGUUAAAUGUUAAGUGCUAACAAUUCUGUAGUCUUAUUGAAAUGCCAGUGUAAAAUAUGAACCUUUACCUUAUAACCCCAAUCAAAAGAAACUUUAUUUUGAAUCAUUUUUCGUCAGAACUUCUCUGAGACACAGUAUAGGGUGGGCUGUGGGGAAACAACUAUUGCAAGUAGAUAAUUGCUGUUAGAUUAUAUAAUGGCUAGGUUCCCGCGCUGUUUUGAUUCCAGUAGUUUCUGUAAGCUGUUUUUUUUUUGGAUGAAACAGGAGGGGUUUAAGCCCCAACUGGAAUUUUAUUGCAAUAAAGGGUAACAAAAGCGUAUAUAUACGGUCAAGAAACAAAAAGGGAGUUCUGUAAGCUGUUAAUAAGAGGAGUCCUCUGCAUAAACCUACAGAGGAGAAUUGUAUCAGACUAUAAGCCUUGGUUCCAGCAUUGUUUUGAUCUCAGUAGUUUCUGUAAGCUUUUAGGAGAAGCCCUCUAUAUAAGCCUAGAGAAGUGAACUGUAUUGGACCAAGCUAUGAAGGAAUGAGGGCACUCACAAUGCAGACUCUAUCAUAGAGUCUAAAGUUAUUUAUUACCUCGAACAAUGUGGACUUAGUGUCUAAAUAAGACUUGGAGUCUUAUUUUUUCUACCUCUUUCUUAAAUAAAUAUGCUACCACUUCAGCAAAAUACCAUAAAUAAUAUAUAAUUAAUUGUCUUGGACUCUGUGAUAGAGUCUUGCAUUGUGAGUGCCCUGUAAAGCCUUUCCUUAUCCCUGGCAUUAAAUUCUUGUGAUGAUGACGGGGGAUGAGUCCCAACCAGCAGCAGUGCACCACAUGUGUGGCUGUGCAAGCAUCCUCCAACCUUCGGAUAUUUCCUACAAGGCUACAACCCAUAACAGAAGUCAUGCUCCAUAACUAUGUAUUGACAUUCAAAUUUUAGUUAAUGUUGCCUCCAACAUAGUUUUGUUUUAUACUCGUAAUCUACUGUGUGACAAUACUGCAUGCACGAUUGUAUGUUUUCUAUGAAAUAAUGGUUUACCCCAGUUUUACCUGAAAUGAUCUAGUAAGCAUGUCCUUUGUUCAGCUGAGUUUUAUCAAGCCACUAAAAGGUAGAUAUCUUGUUUUCUUUUUCUCUGUUGGCAGGUACAAAGCCAUGGUUUUUCUUGAGGCAGAGAUGUCAUGGAAUGUGCUGAUCUCACCUAGCCAGCUGGACCGCAAGGGCCUCCUGCUCCGCAAGGCUAUCAUUGUGCGUCUUCUGGAGGAUGUCACAAACAGGAGGGCUUCCAAAGAGCAUGGCUACUACGUUGCCGUUAGUCAGCUGAAGGCGAUAUCUGAAGGGAAAGUGCGUGAGCUAACUGGAGAUGUACUGUUCCCAGUCUCAUUUACCUGCAUCACACUGAAGCCUAUGAAGGGUGAGGUCAUGGUUGGCCACGUGGACAGGAUCCUCAAGCAUGGUGUGUUCCUGAAAUCUGGACCCGUGGAGAGCAUUUUCCUGGCUGAGAAAUCG